rnacentral:rRNA from 1 species
UACGUAGGGGGCUAGCGUUGGUCGGAAUAACUGGGCGUAAAGCGCACGUAGUCGGAUUUGUAAGUCAGGGGUGAAAUCCCGGGGCUCAACCUCGGAACUGCCUUUGAUACUGCAAGUCUGGAGUCCGGAAGAGGUGAGUGGAAUUCCUAGUGUAGAGGUGAAAUUCGUAGAUAUUAGGAAGAACACCAGUGGCGAAGGCGGCUCACUGGUCCGGUACUGACGCUGAGGUGAGAAAGCGUGGGGAGCAAACAGG